CAUUUUGAAAAUUUGAGAAAACAAAAACAUUCUCCAACGAGUUCUUCAGCUCGGGGAAUGAGAGAAUAGAUUCACCUUUGUGUCGCUUUUCAGAUCGUAUUUUAAUUCCUUUCCGGUACUUUAGUUUCUUUGAACUUCUCUGUUACUCACUAAGCAUACAGUAUUGAAUUUUUAAAAUAAAGAAAUCCGUGAUUUUACUUGCAGGCAUGACUGAUAAAUGGAAUUAUUUUACUUUUAUAUAGAAUAUGGAUGGCACUCCAGUACGGCAUGUGCAUGGUUGGACCUGUUGACAUUUUUAGAAACGCAUCUUGGUCUAUUAUACAGAGUAUUGUUGUACUGCUCCAAAGUGCUUGUUGACAGACUGAAACCACUUGCUUGCAGCUCAUAAGGUUUACUUCUUGAGAGCAGGCAGCUACAAAAUGAAAGGUCAACAAAUCCAGUAUACUUGAAAAGCAAGAAAGAAACACCAGAAAAUAUGAAAAGACAGAAAUACAAGGGAACUUUAAUAAAAAAAAAAACUUUUAAGGAUAGGAAUUCAGGAUUUACUUGGAAACUAAAUUUAUUUUGAGAGCAGCAGUGAUUGACUAAGAUCUGUUACUUUAAGAGAUAAUGUAUUAUCACAUUGGUUUUGUUAUUGUCGAGCCCGCUUGCAGAAGCGAAGACAUAGUUGUCCAAAUGUCUGUUCGGUGUAUGUGCGUGUGUGCGUCCGUCCGGAUUUGUUUGUCCAGACCAUAACUUGGACAUGCAUGGAGCAAUCUUGUUUAUAUUUGGUAUGAAUGUUAACCUCAGUGAGACGGAGUGUCAUGCACAAACCCCAGGUUCCUAUAUCAAAGGCCAAGGUCACACUUACAGGUCAAAGGUCAAAUUCAAAAAUGACUUUGUCUGGAGCAUUUCUUCUUCAUGCAUGGAGGGAUUUUGAUGCAACUUGGCACAAUUGUUCACCAUCAUGAGGUGGAGUGUGAUGCGCAAGAACCAG